rnacentral:rRNA from 1 species
UACGAAGGGGGCUAGCGUUGUUCGGAAUCAUUGGGCGUAAAGGGCGCGUAGGUGGUUCUGUAUGUCUACCGUGAAAAGCAUACAGCUCAACUGUAUUUUGUCGGUAGAAACUGCAGGACUUGAGGCUGGGAGGGGCUGGUGGAAUUCCCUGUGUAGCGGUGAAAUGCGUAGAGAUGGGGGAGAACACUCGUGGCGAAGGCGGCCAGCUAGACCAGUUCUGACACUGAGGCGCGACAGCGUGGGGAGCAAACAGG